GACUGUUUAUUUAGCUCCGUGACAUUCCUAUGGUUUGUUCUUUCAUUCUUUCUUUUUUUUGAGAUGGAUUCUUGCUCUGUCGCUGAGACUGGAGUGCAGUGGCAUGAUCUCGGCUCACUGCAACCUCCGACUCCUGGAUUCAAACAAUUCUCCUAUCUCAGCCUCCCGAGUAGCUGGGACUACAGGUAUGUGCUACCAUGUCCAGUUAAUUUUUGUGUUUUUAGUAGGGAUGGGGUUUCACCAUCUUGGCCCAGCAGGUCUUGAACACCUGACUUCUUGAUCUGCCCACCUCUGCCUCCCAAAGUGCUGGGAUUGCAGGUGUGAGACACGGUGCCUGGCCUAUAUAUGGUUUUAUUUUCAUAUCUUCUCAUAUCUCUGUGAAUAUAUUAAUAAAAAAGUUUAUGUGCUUUAAAAGACGUCUUAGUCUCUGUCCCUUCCAAGUUUUUUCAUGUUUGUUUUCACCUCUUCUUUUAUUUUGGAAACUCUCUGGAGAUAUCUUCUACAUUUGCAUGUGUCCUUCUCUUCGGAGUGCAAACUCCGAGUGUGUUGGUGGAUUCUGUCCACUGUUGGGUUUACUGUAUGAUUAUCUGGUUGUGGCAAUACAUACAGAUGUUCCUACUUGGGCAGAUCAGAUCCCUGAGAACAUUUUUCUAAUCUCUUACCUUGAUGUUGUAGCCUUGGCUGCCAGCAAUCAGUAAGGAAGAAGGCUGGGUUUUACAAAACUCAUCAUGUAAACGUUUACUGAUGUUAUGUUUCCAGGCCAAUCAUACUCUAAAUGCAUCUGUGUUCUUCAUCUAGGGACCUCUGUUCUGCCCGCUGCAGAGAAUACAUCUCUUGUCUUCUGCUAGGAUCUGGGAUCGGUGGGGGUUGGAGAACUGGAUGUUUUAACCACUUGUCAGCAGUUUAAUUUGAGCAGUGUAACUAUAUUUCAACCAUUUUGUUCCGAGUUUUCACAUCCACUUCCAGAGGUACAAGUUAGUACUGUGUCUGGGGGUUCUGUAUUGUCAGUUUCAUUCCAAUAGGAAAACUGACAAGUGCAGGAAGGUGAAAGUCUCUUAAAUCAGAUGUUUCCAAAUGUAAUCAUGAACAUACACUCAUCCCUACUCUCUUCCAGAGAAGAAGACAGAGAAGAAAUCGAGACUGAAGUAAGAUAUGUCAGGACAGAAGUGCCCUGUUACCAGAUCCCAGGAAGUAACAUCACCACACCUAUCAGAGUG